UACGUAGGGUGCAAGCGUUGUCCGGAAUUAUUGGGCGUAAAGAGCUCGUAGGCGGUUUGUCGCGUCUGCUGUGAAAACCCGAGGCUCAACCUCGGGCCUGCAGUGGGUACGGGCAGACUAGAGUUCGGUAGGGGAGACUGGAAUUCCUGGUGUAGCGGUGAAAUGCGCAGAUAUCAGGAGGAACACCGGUGGCGAAGGCGGGUCUCUGGGCAGUAACUGACGCUGAGGAGCGAAAGCGUGGGGAGCGAACAGG
rnacentral:rRNA from 1 species